rnacentral:rRNA from 1 species
GAUGAACGCUGGCGGCGUGCCUAAUACAUGCAAGUCGAGCGAACGGACGAGAAGCUUGCUUCUCUGAUGUUAGCGGCGGACGGGUGUGUAACACGUGGAUAACCUACCUAUAAGACUGGGAUAACUUCGGGAAACCGGAGCUAAUACCGGAUAAUAUUUUGAACCGCAUGGUUCAAAAGUGAAAGACGGUCUUGCUGUCACUUAUAGAUGGAUCCGCGCUGCAUUAGCUAGUUGGUAAGGUAACGGCUUACCAAGGCAACGAUGCAUAGCCGACCUGAGAGGGUGAUCGGCCACACUGGAACUGAGACACGGUCCAGACUCCUACGGGAGGCAGCAGUAGGGAAUCUUCCGCAAUGGGCGAAAGCCUGACGGAGCAACGCCGAGUGAGUGAUGAAGGUCUUCGGAUCGUAAAACUCUGUUAUUAGGGAAGAACAUAUGUGUAAGUAACUGUGCACAUCUUGACGGUACCUAAUCAGAAAGCCACGGCUAACUACGUG